rnacentral:rRNA from 1 species
UCUUGGUCAUUUAGAGGAAGUAAAAGUCGUAACAAGGUUUCCGUAGGUGAACCUGCGGAAGGAUCAUUAUUGAUUUUAAAGCAAAACCGAGCUUUUUUAAAAAGUCGGUUUUGCUAAUAUAUUUAAAACCCCCACUCUUUUAAAUAAAAUUUUUCAUUCAUUUAUAUUAUGAAUAAAAAAAGAUCACUUUCAACAACGGAUCUCUUGGCUCUCGCAUCGAUGAAGAACGCAGCGAAAUGCGAUAAGUAGUGUGAAUUGCAGAUGUAUACGUGAAUCAUCGAAUCUUUGAACGCAAAUUGCACUUCCUGGUAUUCCGGGGAGUAUGCCUGUUUGAGGGUCGCCAAAAUAAACGUCGAUUGCAUUGCUUUUCUUUCAAAAGUAUUUGUCUUAUCGGAUUUGGGCUUCCUUUAUUUUUGAUAAUAAAGUGGCUUAAAAUUUAUUUUUCGGUAUCAUCGAACGUAUUUUACGAUCAAUUUUGAUUAAGAAACGUUUUUGAAUACCACCCUAAUAAAUAACGUAAUACGUUUUGCUAUGUGAUUUAGUACAUACGUAUACAAUUUUUUUGAUUUUGACCUCAAAUCAGGUAAGAAUACCCGCUGAACUUAAGCAUAUCAAUAAGCGGA